rnacentral:lncRNA from 1 species
GUCCAAGCCCCUUACAGGCUCCCUGCUGAGCCCUGUAAACAGUUGCGACUCGGCAGGGAGCCUGUAAGCACCUGGGACCCUCAGAAUAUCUGUGUGUCAGCGUACUUUAUUCACCGGUCAUUGGGUCAGGGGUCUGCAAGGGACAGACUCCCCACAGCUGGUGACCCCUCGAGAGGAGCCCUGCCCCCAGCUGGUGCCCCAUGUGAGGCGCUGUGUGAGGAACUGUGUGAGGAAUGCUGUGAAGGAAACGCGACGAACCGCCCGAAAACGAAGACAGAACAGCAUGUGGAGACUCACACAGUGAAAUUUUCCUCCAAGAAGUACUGCAUGAACAUACCAGGAAAACCAAAAGAAUUCACAGGACCUUUGAAAGAAGUGGCUUGCCGCUGCAAACUCCAUGAGACAGCUGAAAAACGGGCAAAGCGGCUGAGAUCUUUGAACUCCCUUUGAACUUUGAGAAUGGUGACUGGAAGAUGACAAUUCAUGUUGUUUUCAGGAAA